CCUACGGGGGGCUGCAGUGGGGGAUAUUGCACAAUGGAGGAAACUCUGAUGCAGCACGCCGGGGUAGGGGAGGAGGGUUUUGGAUUUGUAACCUUCUGUCUUAGGGGCGGUAAUGACGGUACCUGAGGAGGAAGCUCCGGCUAACUACGUGCCAGCAGCCGCGGUAAUACGUAGGGAGCAAGCGUUGUCCGGAUUUACUGGGUGUAAAGGGUGCGUAGGCGGCCCUGCAAGUCAGGUGUGAAAACUAUGGGCUUAACUCAUAGAUUGCACUUGAAACUGUGGGGCUUGAGUGAAGUAGAGGCAGGCGGAAUUCCCGGUGUAGCGGUGAAAUGCGUAGAGAUCGGGAAGAACACCAGUGGCGAAGGCGGCCUGCUGGGCUUUAACUGACGCUGAGGCACGAAAGCGUGGGUAGCAAACAGGAUUAGAUACCCUAGUAGUC
rnacentral:rRNA from 1 species